AUUGAACGCUGGCGGCAGGCUUAACACAUGCAAGUCGAGCGGAGAUGAGGUGCUUGCACCUUAUCUUAGCGGCGGACGGGUGAGUAAUGCUUAGGAAUCUGCCUAUUAGUGGGGGACAACAUUCCGAAAGGAAUGCUAAUACCGCAUACGUCCUACGGGAGAAAGCAGGGGAUCUUCGGACCUUGCGCUAAUAGAUGAGCCUAAGUCGGAUUAGCUAGUUGGUGGGGUAAAGGCCUACCAAGGCGACUCUCUGUAGCGGGUCUGAGAGGAUGAUCUGCCACGCUGCGACUGGGAGACGGCCCAGAGUCCUACGGGAGGCAACAGUGGGGAAUAUUGGACAAUGGUGGGAGCCCUGAUCCAGCCAUGCCGCGUGUGUGAAGAAGGCCUUAUGGUUGUAAGGCACUUUAAGCGAGGAGGAGGCUACUGAGACUAAUACUCUUGGAUAGUGGACGUUACUCGCAGAAUAAGCACCGGCUAACUCUGUGCCAGCCGCCGCCGUAACAC
rnacentral:rRNA from 1 species